AUUGAACGCUGGCGGCAUGCCUUACACAUGCAAGUCGAACGGUAACAGGUCUUCGGAUGCUGACGAGUGGCGAAAGGGUGAGUAAUACAUCGGAACGUGCCUAGUAGUGGGGGAUAACUACCCGAAAGAGUGGCUAAUACCGCAUGAGAUCUACGGAUGAAAGCAGGGGAUCGCAAGACCUUGUGCUACUAGAGCGGCCGAUGGCAGAUUAGGUAGUUGGUGGGAUAAAAGCUUACCAAGCCGACGAUCUGUAGCGGGUCUGAGAGGACGAUCAGCGACACUGUGACUGAGACACGGCCCAGACUCCUACGGGAGGCAGCAGUGGGGAAUUUUGGACAAUGGUCGCAGGCCUGAUCCAGCAAUGCCGCGUGCAGGAUGAAGGCCUUCGGGUUGUAAACUGCUUUUGUACGGAACGAAAAGCCCUGGGUUAAUACCCUGGGGUCAUGACGGUACCGUAAGAAUAAGCACCGGCUAACUACGUGCCAGCCGCCGCGGUAAGAC
rnacentral:rRNA from 1 species